rnacentral:rRNA from 1 species
GACGAACGCUGGCGGCGUGCUUAACACAUGCAAGUCGAACGGAAAGGCCCUGCUUUUGUGGGGUGCUCGUGUGGCGAACGGGUGAGUAACACGUGAGUAACCUUCCCUUUACUUUGGGAUAAACUUAGGAAACUGGGGCUAAUACCCGGUAGGAGCUCUUGCUGCAUGGUGGGGGUUGGAAAGGUUCGGUGGUUGGGGAUGGACUCGCGGCUUAUCAGCUUGUUGGUGGGGUAGUGGCUUACCAAGGCUUUGACGGGUAGCCGGCCUGAGAGGGUGACCGGCCACAUUGGGACUGAGGGACGGCCCAGACUGCUACGGGAGGCAGCAGGGGGGAAUAUUGCACAAUGGGCGGAAGCCUGAUGCAGCAACGCCGCGUGCGGGAUGACUGCCUUCGGGGUGUAAACCGCUUUCGCCUGUGACGAAGCGUGAGUGACGGUAAUGUGUAAAGAAGCACCGGCUAACUACGUG